rnacentral:rRNA from 1 species
UACAGAGGGGGCAAGCGUUAUUCGGAAUUAUUGGGCGUAAAGGGCGCGUAGGCGGCUUGGCAAGUGGAAGGUGAAAUCCCUCCGGCUUAACCGAGGAACUGCCCUCCAAACUGCUUCGCUUGAGACCGGGAGAGGUGAGUGGAAUUCCCAGUGUAGCGGUGAAAUGCGUAGAUAUUGGGAGGAACACCAGUGGCGAAGGCGGCUCACUGGACCGGUACUGACGCUGAUGCGCGAAAGCGUGGGGAGCAAACAGG